UGGGGAAUAUUGCACAAUGGGCGCAAGCCUGAUGCAGCGACGCCGCGUGGGGGAUGACGGCCUUCGGGUUGUAAACUCCUUUCGCCAGGGACGAAGCGUUUUGUGACGGUACCUGGAGAAGAAGCACCGGCUAACUACGUGCCAGCAGCCGCGGUAAUACGUAGGGUGCAAGCGUUGUCCGGAAUUACUGGGCGUAAAGAGCUCGUAGGUGGUUUGUCACGUCGUCUGUGAAAUUCCACAGCUUAACUGUGGGCGUGCAGGCGAUACGGGCUGACUUGAGUACUGUAGGGGUAACUGGAAUUCCUGGUGUAGCGGUGAAAUGCGCAGAUAUCAGGAGGAACACCGAUGGCGAAGGCAGGUUACUGGGCAGUUACUGACGCUGAGGAGCGAAAGCAUGGGUAGCAAACAGGAUUAGAUACCCUGGUAGUCCAUGCCGUAACGGUGGGCGCUAGGUGUAGGGGCCUUUUGGGGUUUCUGUGCCGUAGCUAACGCAUUAAGCGCCCCGCCUGGGGAGUACGGCCGCAAGGCU
rnacentral:rRNA from 1 species